UCCGGUUGAUCCUGCCAGAGGUUACUGCUAUCGGUGUUCGCCUAAGCCAUGCGAGUCAUAUGUUCUUCGUGAACAUGGCGUACUGCUCAGUAACACGUGGAUAACCUGCCCUUGGGUCCGGCAUAACCCCGGGAAACUGGGGAUAAUUCCGGAUAACGCACAUAUGCUGGAAUGCUUUAUGCGUAAAAUGGAUUCGUCUGCCCAAGGAUGGGUCUGCGGCCUAUCAGGUAGUGGUGGGUGUAAUGUACCUACUAGCCUACAACGGGUACGGGUUGUGAGAGCAAGAGCCCGGAGAUGGAUUCUGAGACAUGAAUCCAGGCCCUACGGGGCGCAGCAGGCGCGAAAACUUUACAAUGCGGGAAACCGUGAUAAGGGGACACCGAGUGCUAGCAUCAUAUGCUGGCUGUCCAGGUGUGUAAAAUACACCUGUUAGCAAGGGCCGGGCAAGACCGGUGCCAGCCGCCGCGGUAACACCGGCGGCCCGAGUGGUGAUCGUGAUUAUUGGGUCUAAAGGGUCCGUAGCCGGUUUGGUCAGUCCUCCGGGAAAUCUGACAGCUCAACUGUUAGGCUUUCGGGGGAUACUGCCAGACUUGGAACCGGGAGAGGUAAGAGGUACUACA
rnacentral:rRNA from 1 species